rnacentral:lncRNA from 1 species
CUGCCUCUCUGGAAUUCCUUUAGCAUGUUCUUCUCCACGAAGCAAGGAACCUAUAGAAUUAAGGAAAGGUGGCUGCAGGAAAUGGACUCUGCGUUUAAUCUGCUCUCUCUCCCUCUCUCUGGGUGUCUGUUGGCCUUGGCUCAGCUUCGAGCUCUCUGGGAACCCAAAGCCCUGGCUGAUGGCGUUGUUGGACCUGG